UGAAAUUUGAGACAAUAGCUUUUAGUGAACCAUAUAUAAAUUCUCACUUGGGAAAAGCUCUUCAACAUGUUCAAUCACAAUUACAAUUAACGUGCAAAUUAGAAAAUGAUUCAACUUCAAACUAGCAUUAUACACAGUAACGUACACUAUAUACUUCAAGAACAAUAUACUUGUACCAACUGACAAACAUAACAAGUAUCAAACCUCAGUUCCGACUGUACACAAAAAUGAAGGAUCAGCAAGCAGUCUGUUUCGAAGUAUCGUACAGUAAUUCAUCAAGAAACUUAAUGGCCAAACUGACCCCUGCAGCACAACCUUAUUUAUUUUUCUAAAAUAAAUUUAAAAUUAAAAGCUGCAAUCAAACAAUCUCAAGCUUGGUACAAAACCAAGGUUAACAGUACUGCUUAACAGAAUAGCUUAGUCAUAAAUAACAAGUCCUGAAAAUAAUUGAAACCAAGAAAAACCAAGAUUACUAGUACUUUUUUCCCCAAUUCGAUUUCACAGCUUCAAUUGCGAAUAACCCCAAUUCGAUUUCACAAUGAAAUUGCAGGAAUUUUUUUUGCCCCAAUCAGAUUAUCAUCAUGGGUCAGGAUUAUCAUAGCCGAAAGAGUUUAGAGAACCUGCAGAAGUGGAGAGCUAGACGAUUAGCCGAACGAGUUUAGAGAAUCGCAGCAGGGGAGGGUUUGGUUUUCGAAAUCGCAUGAGGAAGGGUUUGGUUUAGGGAAUCGUCGCAGGCAUCGAGGGUCUAGUUGAACGAUCGGAGCAGGAGGGAAGGUUUUGAGAGAUGGAAUCGUCUAGUUGAACGAUCGGAGCAGGAGGGAAGGUUUUGAGCGAUGGAAUCGAGGGUCUAGUUGAACGAAGGUUCAAUUUAGGGUGAAAAUUAUUUUUCUAUCAUACGACUAGACCGUCUGGCGUAUGUGUUUUAUAAUUUUUUAGCUUACGCUACAUCGUCUGGCGUAAGGCUUGUUUUAUUUUUU
rnacentral:lncRNA from 1 species